rnacentral:rRNA from 1 species
UACGUAGGGUGCAAGCGUUAUCCGGAAUUAUUGGGCGUAAAGAGCUCGUAGGCGGUUUGUCGCGUCUGCCGUGAAAGUCCGGGGCUCAACUCCGGAUCUGCGGUAGGUACGGGCAGACUAGAGUGAUGUAGGGGAGACUGGAAUUCCUGGUGUAGCGGUGAAAUGCGCAGAUAUCAGGAGGAACACCGAUGGCGAAGGCAGGUCUCUGGGCAUUAACUGACGCUGAGGAGCGAAAGCAUGGGGAGCGAACAGG